rnacentral:rRNA from 1 species
GAGUGGCGAACGGGUGANNNAUACAUCGGAACGUGUCCUGUAGUGGGGGAUAGCCCGGCGAAAGCCGGAUUAAUACCGCAUACGCUCUACGGAGGAAAGGGGGGGAUCUUAGGACCUCCCGCUACAGGGGCGGCCGAUGGCAGAUUAGCUAGUUGGUGGGGUAAAGGCCUACCAAGGCGACGAUCUGUAGCUGGUCUGAGAGGACGACCAGCCACACUGGGACUGAGACACGGCCCAGACUCCUACGGGAGGCAGCAGUGGGGAAUUUUGGACAAUGGGGGAAACCCUGAUCCAGCAAUGCCGCGUGUGUGAAGAAGGCCUUCGGGUUGUAAAGCACUUUUGUCCGGAAAGAAAACCUCUGGGUUAAUACCCCGGGGGGAUGACGGUACCGGAAGAAUAAGCACCGGCUAACUACGUGCCAGCAGCCGCGGUAAUACGUAGGGUGCAAGCGUUAAUCGGAAUUACUGGGCGUAAAGCGUGCGCAGGCGGUCCGCUAAGACAGAUGUGAAAUCCCCGGGCUUAACCUGGGAACUGCAUUUGUGACUGGCGGGCUAGAGUAUGGCAGAGGGGGGUAGAAUUCCACGUGU